CUUGAUGUAACGUAAAAUGUAUUAGUCGUUUCACCUAUAAUCUUUAUUAAACCAAAUCAAAUGAGUUCAAUAAGGUGACCCCGUUUUGCGCAUGCGUGAGACCGCGCGUUUUCACUGCCACCUGCAUUCCGUUUGUCCAUCCACCAUUUUCCACCUGUGGCUGAAGACGAGUUGAUGAGACGCCCCCGAUAACAAGAAGUCAUUUCUUUGUUUGAUCAGCUUUACAGGGUUCCUUCUGGCAACCUCCUAGUGAUAGUUAGUGUAUGUGGCAGUGCAAAAAAUGCAGUUUGGAACUAGAUAGCAGUUCUCAGACGUCUUAAAAUUGUGCAGCAGAGACCAAUGAUAGAAGAGUUCAAAAACAGAUGGCCUGCACUGUUUGAAGAGAAUGAAGUAGAUUUGUGCUGUGAAUGCAGAGUUCUUGCGAAUCACCACCAAGUCACUACAAUCAAAGUUCUUGUCACAGCUGGAUCACUUCUCUGACACAGAUCUUCAUGAAGAAAGGAGGAAUGAAGGGGCAAAGGAUCAAGGAUGUCCUGGCGAAUAAUGAUUUGUGUGAUGACAUCAACACCAAAAGGGAGUGCCUCCUGAGAAGCCUUGUCAUCUACCUCAGUGAAGAUCCUGACUUAUUCUUUUAAGGCAUAUUUGGUCUCUGGCACUGAGGAUGUGGAGAGGGACAUCUCAAGCACAAUCAUGGGGAUUUACAUUAUUCGAAGUUAUGACAAUGGGGAGCCAGAG